GGAUCAGAAUUUGUCAACAAGUACUGUAUCAUUGGUAAAGAUGAAUCAAGUAGUCAUGCGUGCGAGAAAUGUACAGAUGGAAGCAUUCUUCCAUCAUUUUGUUUCUGUGACUUGAAAGUUCACUGUGUCAAAGAUAAAGAAUUAUUGGGAAGUCGAGCAGCCGAUGACUCUAAAAAAAAAUGUAAUUGGUGUUAAACUAUUUUCCACAAUCAAUUUAAAGACCGAGGCAAUGCGAGUUGCUCUAUUACCUUUCAAGCUCUGGUGAAUAGUACCUGUAAAGAAGGUUAUGUAGGGUUCAUGUGUAGUGUCAUAACAACACGUGUAUGCACCUUAGAAGUUGGACAGCAUAACUUACUGGAAUGCAACACGUCAAAUUUAGAGGAAUCUUUCCUGAAAUUGACACUACCUGGAAAAUAUUAUCUCUGCCAACCUUUGACGGAUUCCAAUAUCAAAGAAAGAAGUCACAUGGAAGCUUGUACCCUGAAUGCUACACCAUGACAGAAGAAAGGUAGAAAAUUAAACUGAGUUAGGCUUCAUCUAAGAAGAAACUGAUCAAUUGCAAGGAGAAACAAUUUUGUGCUCUUGAUUAACCAUCGUCUAGUCGAUGGAUGAUAUCGUCCCUGAAUGUGUGUACCGCAGACAGAGAUACAAUGAUUUAUUGAAGAGUGAGAACCAGAAGAAUAGCCAUUCACCUAUAGUAAUACAUUAGUUUUUUGAUAAACUUCCCAAAAAAACGUGUAUGGUGUAAUGGUGUAUGGCAUAUGGUGCAAUGGUAGAAGGUGUAUGUUGCUAUGGUGUAUGGUGUAAGCUGAGUGGUGUAAUGGUGUAACGUGCGAUCUGGAAUGGUAUGAAUGAAUGGUUUACGACAUUUAAAACUAUGCAAAAUAUUGAUAAGAACUGAUAUUUAAUUUUAUACAUUAAUUUACAAUAUUGUGAUCAAAAUUCGUUUUUUAAAAUAAAAAAAUAAUUUUGUAGUCGCACGCUUUCUUUGAAAUUAAAUUGCAUUAUGGUGUAAUGUGUAAGGUGUAUGGUGCAAAGGUUUAACGUGUAUGGUGUAAUGGCACAGGGUGUGUGGUGCAAUAGUGUAUGGUGUUAGUGGGAAGUUUACACCAUUCAAGGACUGUAUUUGGCAUCUUUUUUAAAUAUAUAUAUAUAAUUUUCAGACCUGAGUUUAAAGUAUACUCGGUAAUGUUAAACAUUCCAUUUAGAUACGAGUGUGGUCCGUUUGUGUUUGACAUCAAGUCAAUGUAUAACUUGUCAUUGGCCAAUAGCUUCAGAUAUAUUUACACCAAUAAUACUAAUUUAUCGGUACAGUUCCGAUAUGACAAGUGUUUCACAUAUGUGCCUUUACACAUUAUAAAAGCAGCAUGUCCUCGUCGAAUCUAUGCAUUUAUUAUAACAUUGUUACAUAACAUCAAAGACUGUCAACAGAGAUAUUAGAAAUACAUUUUGUUUAAGAUCAGGGAUUUGAAAAAAAUAACAUUUUUAGUACCCAGUUAGGCACACAGUAAAAUUAAAGUUAAAUCCUCCAUUAGAUACAACUGCUGAUGGUAGCCUUAAGGGUCAUUAGUACCCAGUUAGGCACACAGUGAAAUUAAAGUUAACUCCUCCAUUAGAUACAACUGCUUAAUAAUAUAUAAUGCUCAGACUUAGAUGUGGUAUGAUUCCCAAUACCAAAUGACGUCAAAAUAAACAACCGCAUGUCAUUAACGACCUUCAACAAUGAGCAAAUCCUAUACCACAAAACAAGAAAUAAUAGUGAUAUAACUACAUCUAUCUUUCAUAAUAUUAAAUAAUAGCAUUUGUGUGUGUAUAUAAGUUUUUAUAUAUAUCAACGCCUUAGUGUGUUGAUGCUUCUAUUGUAAAUGAUAAAAUAUUGAAUAAAAAACAUAUGAUGAUG